GACGUAGGGCGCGAGCGUUGUCCGGAUUUAUUGGGCGUAAAGAGCUCGUAGGCGGCUUGUCGCGUCGGCUGUGAAAACCCGCGGCUCAACUGUGGGCGGGCAGCUGAUACGGGCAGGCUGGAGUUCGGUAGGGGAGACUGGAAUUCCCGGUGUAGCGGUGAAAUGCGCAGAUAUCGGGAGGAACACCGGUGGCGAAGGCGGCGACCUGGGUAGAUACUGACGCUGAGGCGCGAAAGCGUGGGGAGCAAACAGG
rnacentral:rRNA from 1 species